CUGACCGUACCGCAAACCGACACAGGUGGGCGAGAUGAGUAUUCUAAGGCGCUUGAGAGAACUCGGGAGAAGGAACUCGGCAAAUUGGUACCGUAACUUCGGGAUAAGGUACGCCCUGGUAGCUUGACUGGCCUGCGCCAGGAGGGUGAAGGGGUUGCAAUAAACUGGUGGCUGCGACUGUUUAAUAAAAACACAGCACUCUGCAAACACGAAAGUGGACGUAUAGGGUGUGACGCCUGCCCGGUGCCGGAAGAUUAAAUGAUGGGGUGCAAGCUCUUGAUUGAAGUCCCGGUAAACGGCGGCCGUAACUAUAACGGUCCUAAGGUAGCGAAAUUCCUUGUCGGGUAAGUUCCGACCUGCACGAAUGGCGUAACGAUGGCCACACUGUCUCCUCCCGAGACUCAGCGAAGUUGAAGUGUUUGUGAUGAUGCAAUCUCCCCGCGGCUAGACGGAAAGACCCCAUGAACCUUUACUGUAGCUUUGCAUUGGACUUUGAACCGGUUUGUGUAGGAUAGGUGGGAGGCUGUGAAGCGGGAACGCCAGUUUCCGUGGAGCCGUCCUUGAAAUACCACCCUGAUCUGUUUGAGGUUCUAACCUUGGCCCGUGAUCCGGGUCGGGGACAGUGCAUGGUAGGCAGUUUGACUGGGGCGGUCUCCUCCCAAAGGGUAACGGAGGAGUACGAAGGUACGCUAGGUACGGUCGGAAAUCGUGCUGAUAGUGCAAUGGCAUAAGCGUGCUUGACUGUGAGACCCACAAGUCGAACAGGUGCGAAAGCAGGUCAUAGUGAUCCGGUGGUUCUGUAUGGAAGGGCCAUCGCUCAACGGAUAAAAGGUACUCUGGGGAUAACAGGCUGAUACCGCCCAAGAGUUCAUAUCGACGGCGGUGUUUGGCACCUCGAUGUCGGCUCAUCUCAUCCUGGGGCUGUAGCCGGUCCCAAGGGUAUGGCUGUUCGCCAUUUAAAGAGGUACGUGAGCUGGGUUUAAAACGUCGUGAGACAGUUUGGUCCCUAUCUGCCGUGGGCGCUGGAAGUUUGAGGGGGCCUGCUCCUAGUACGAGAGGACCGGAGUGGACGAACCUCUGGUGUACCGGUUGUCACGCCAGUGGCAUCGCCGGGUAGCUAUGUUCGGAAGAGAUAACCGCUGAAAGCAUCUAAGCGGGAAACUCGCCCCAAGAUGAGACUUCCCCGGAGC
rnacentral:rRNA from 1 species